rnacentral:rRNA from 1 species
AGAACGAACGCUGGCGGCAGGCCUCAAACAUGCAAGUCUAGGGGGUGCAGCAAUGCAUCACCGGCGGACGGGUGCGUAACACGUGGGAAUAUACCUUUUGGUUCGGAACAACGCAGGGAAACUUGCGCUAAUACCGAAUGUGUCCUUACGGAGAAAGAUUUAUCGCCAAAGGAUUAGCCCGCGUCCGAUUAGCUAGUUGGUGAGGUAAUGGCUCACCAAGGCUCCGAUCGGUAGCUGUUCUGAGAGGAAGAUCAGCCACACUGGGACUGAGACACGGCCCAGACUCCUACGGGAGGCAGCAGUUGGGAAUCUUGGACAAUGGGGGAAACCCUGAUCCAGCCAUGCCGCGUGAGUGAUGAAGGCCUUCGGGUUGUAAAACUCUUUCGACGGGGACGAUAUGACGGUACCCGUAGAAGAAGCUCCGGCUAACUUCGUGCCAGCAGCCGC